UCCUUUGUGGUGUAGUGGUCAGCACACUCGGCAAGUAUUCGAGAGGUCCGGGUUCGAAUCCCGGCGAGGGCA
rnacentral:tRNA from 1 species